rnacentral:tRNA from 1 species
GGGGCUGUGGCUCAAUGGUAGAGCACUCGUCCUGGAUGUGUGAAGCCUUGGGUUCAAUCCCCAGCACCACA